rnacentral:rRNA from 1 species
UACGUAGGGGGCAAGCGUUGUCCGGAGUUACUGGGCGUAAAGCGCACGCAGGCGGUCUUUUAAGUUUGGAGUGACAGUUGGUGGCUUAACUGCCAAAGUGCUUCGAAAACUGAAAGACUUGAGGGCUUCAGAGGGACACGGAAUUCCGGGUGGAGUGGUGAAAUGCGUUGAGAUCGGAAGGAACGCCCGUGGCGAAAGCGAGGUCCUGGACGCCUACUGACGCUGAGACGCGAAAGCCAGGGGAGCGAACGGG